rnacentral:rRNA from 1 species
CCAGCUCCAAUAGCGUAUAUUAAAGUUGUUGCAGUUAAAAAGCUCGUAGUUGAAUUUCUGGUCUCGGACAUCGGUCUGCCUCGAACGAGGUACGUACCAGUUGUCUGAAUCCAUCCUCGGGGAAAACAUGUCUGGCAUUCAGUUGUUGGGCAUGGGAUCCUCGUCAUUUACUGUGAGCAAAAUAGAGUGUUCAAAGCAGGCUUAUGCCGUUGAAUACAUUAGCAUGGAAUAAUAAGAUAGGACCUUGGUCUAUUUUGUUGGUUUGUACUCCAAGGUAAUGAUUAAUAGGGAUAGUUGGGGGUAUUCGUAUUCAAUUGUCAGAGGUGAAAUUCUUGGAUUUAUGGAAGACGAACUACUGCGAAAGCAUUUACCAAGGAUGUUUUCAUUAAUCAAGAACGAAAGUUAGGGGAUCGAAGAUGAUUAGAUACCAUCGUAGUCUUAACCAUAAACUAUGCCGACUAGGGAUUGGUGGACGUUUGUAACGACUCCAUCAGCACCUUAUGAGAAAUCAAAGUCUUUGGGUUCCGGGGGGAGUAUGGUCGCAAGGCUGAAUCUUAAAGAAGUUGACGGAAGGGCACCACCAGGAGUGGAGCCUGCGGCUUAAUUCGACUCAAC